rnacentral:piRNA from 1 species
UAACCUUAGCUUCUGUUUUGAUAUUAUGGU